UAAGUAGGGGGAAAGCGUUGUCCGGAUUUAUUGGGCGUAAAGAGCGUGUAGGCGGCCUGACAGGUCUGCUGUGAAAACUCGAGGCUCAACCUCGAGAUGUCGGCGGAAACCGUCUGGCUAGAGUCCGGAAGAGGAGAGUGGAAUUCCUGGUGUAGCGGUGAAAUGCGCAGAUAUCAGGAAGAACACCUAUGGCGAAGGCAGCUCUCUGGGACGUUUCUGACGCUGAGACGCGAAAUCUUGGGGAGCGAACAGG
rnacentral:rRNA from 1 species